rnacentral:rRNA from 1 species
AUGAUCUUAGGAGCACUGGCCGCCAUGGCCCAAACGAAAGUCAAAAGACCUCUAGCUCAUAGUUCGAUUGGACAUGUAGGCUAUAUUCGUACUGGUUUCUCAUGUGGAAUAGAAGGAAUUCAAUCACUACUAAUUGGUAUAUUUAUUUAUGCAUCAAUGAUGAUAGAUGCAUUCGCCAUAGUUCCAGCAUUACGGGAAACCCGUGUCAAAUAUAUAGCGGAUUUGGGCGCUCUGGCCAAAACGAAUCCUAUUUCGGCUAUGACCUUCUCCAUUACAAAGUUCUCAUACGCAGGAAUACCCCCGUUAGCCGGCUUUUGUAGCAAAUUAUAUUUGUUCUUCGCCGCGUUGGGUUGUGGGCUUACUUCCUAG